AAGGCUGCCGAGGAAACAUCCCUCUCGGCAUACAUUGCUUGGCAUCUUUGGAAGGAACGGAAUAGAAGGGUUUUUGAAAAUGCUGAGAUGACGCCAAGAGCCUUGGUGAAUCUCAUUCAAGAAGAUUUCAAGAUGCUCAACGAGGCCUUCCGUCCUUCCAUUCAGGUGGCUGGGUAG
rnacentral:rRNA from 1 species